UCGCUGGAGGAAGAGCUCCCGUAGGAUUAGGUUGUUGGUGUGGUAACGGCUCACCAAGCCAAUGAUCCUUAGCCGCCCUGAGAGGGGGGCCGGCCACGGUGGAACUGAGACACGGUCCACACGCCUCGGCGGCAGCAGUGGAUAAGAUUCGACAAUGAGCGAAAGCUUGAUCGAGCCACACCACGUGAGUGAAGAAGGCCGACGCAGUCGUAAAGCUCUAAAGCUCAGUCACCACGACUGGGCGAUAAGUACCGGCUAACUCUGUGCCAGCAGCCGCGGUAAGACAGGGGGUGCAAGCGUUACCCAGUUUUACUAUGGCGUAAAGGGCACGCAGGCGGUAGACAUAAGGUAUUGCUCUCUGCCACGGCUUACCCAUGGCGCAGCGGUUCUCUUGGUCUGCUUGAGUUUGACGGAGGAGAGUGGAAUUUCUAGUGUAGAGGUAAAAUUCGUAGAUACUAGAAGGAACAUCAAAAGCGAAGGCAGCUCUCUUGAUCAAUACUGACGCUGAGGUGCGGAAGCGUGGGUAGCAAAAGGGAUUAGAUACCCCUGUAGUCCACGCCGUCAACGAUGAGUGUUAGGUUUUGCCGUGUGGCAGAGCCGUAGCUAACGCGUUAAACACUCCGCCUGGGGACUACGGUCGCAAGACUAAAACUCAAAGGAAUUGGCGGUAGCUCAAACAAGCGGCGGAACAUGCCGUUUAAUUCGAAACAACGCGCAAAACCUUACCAACCCUUGACAUGAAUUCGAGCACUUGCUGUAAUCAAUUCACAGGUGCUGCAUGGCUGUCGUCAGUUCGUGGCGUGAGUCGUUUGGUUAAUUCCUGCAACGAACGAAACCCCUGGUUUGUGUUGCUAAACAAAAAGCUACUCUCAAACGACUGCCUGCGAUAUGCAGGAGGAAGGCGGGGAUCACGUCAAGUCGUCAUGGCCCUGAUGGGUUGGGCUACUCGGUGUGUUACAAUGGUGUCCACAAAGGGAUGCGAUAGCGCAAGCUGGAGCGAAACCUAAAAAGUCAUCAUCGUUCGGAUUGUUCUCUGCAACUCGAAAACAUGAAGUCGGAGUCGCUAGUAAUCGCGGAUCAGCACGCCGCGGUGAAUAUGUCACUGAGCUGUGUACUCAUCGCUCGUCACGUUCGAAAAGUUGUAUGCGGU